GAAGGUGUGCUGUGAGGCAUGCUGGAGGUAUCAGAAGUGCGAAUGCUGACAUAAGUAACGAUAAAGCGGGUGAAAAGCCCGCUCGCCGGAAGACCAAGGGUUCCUGUCCAACGUUAAUCGGGGCAGGGUGAGUCGACCCCUAAGGCGAGGCCGAAAGGCGUAGUCGAUGGGAAACAGGUUAAUAUUCCUGUACUUGGUGUUACUGCGAAGGGGGGACGGAGAAGGCUAUGUUGGCCGGGCGACGGUUGUCCCGGUUUAAGCGUGUAGGCUGGUUUUCCAGGCAAAUCCGGAAAAUCAAGGCUGAGGCGUGAUGACGAGGCACURCGGUGCUGAAGCAACAAAUGCCCUGCUUCCAGGAAAAGCCUCUAAGCAUCAGGUAACAUCAAAUCGUACCCCAAACCGACACAGGUGGUCAGGUAGAGAAUACCAAGGCGCUUGAGAGAACUCGGGUGAAGGAACUAGGCAAAAUGGUGCCGUAACUUCGGGAGAAGGCACGCUGAUAUGUAGGUGAAGUCCCUCGCGGAUGGAGCUGAAAUCAGUCGAAGAUACCAGCUGGCUGCAACUGUUUAUUAAAAACACAGCACUGUGCAAACACGAAAGUGGACGUAUACGGUGUGACGCCUGCCCGGUGCCGGAAGGUUAAUUGAUGGGGUUAGCGCAAGCGAAGCUCUUGAUCGAAGCCCCGGUAAACGGCGGCCGUAACUAUAACGGUCCUAAGGUAGCGAAAUUCCUUGUCGGGUAAGUUCCGACCUGCACGAAUGGCGUAAUGAUGGCCAGGCUGUCUCCACCCGAGACUCAGUGAAAUUGAACUCGCUGUGAAGAUGCAGUGUACCCGCGGCAAGACGGAAAGACCCCGUGAACCUUUACUAUAGCUUGACACUGAACAUUGAGCCUUGAUGUGUAGGAUAGGUGGGAGGCUUUGAAGUGUGGACGCCAGUCUGCAUGGAGCCGACCUUGAAAUACCACCCUUUAAUGUUUGAUGUUCUAACGUUGACCCGUAAUCCGGGUUGCGGACAGUGUCUGGUGGGUAGUUUGACUGGGGCGGUCUCCUCCUAAAGAGUAACGGAGGAGCACGAAGGUUGGCUAAUCCUGGUCGGACAUCAGGAGGUUAGUGCAAUGGCAUAAGCCAGCUUGACUGCGAGCGUGACGGCGCGAGCAGGUGCGAAAGCAGGUCAUAGUGAUCCGGUGGUUCUGAAUGGAAGGGCCAUCGCUCAACGGAUAAAAGGUACUCCGGGGAUAACAGGCUGAUACCGCCCAAGAGUUCAUAUCGACGGCGGUGUUUGGCACCUCGAUGUCGGCUCAUCACAUCCUGGGGCUGAAGUAGGUCCCAAGGGUAUGGCUGUUCGCCAUUUAAAGUGGUACGCGAGCUGGGUUUAGAACGUCGUGAGACAGUUCGGUCCCUAUCUGCCGUGGGCGCUGGAGAACUGAGGGGGGCUGCUCCUAGUACGAGAGGACCGGAGUGGACGCAUCACUGGUGUUCGGGUUGUCAUGCCAAUGGCACUGCCCGGUAGCUAAAUGCGGAAGAGAUAAGUGCUGAAAGCAUCUAAGCACGAAACUUGCCCCGAGAUGAGUUCUCCCUGACUCCUUGAGAGUCCUGAAGGAACGUUGAAGACGACGACGUUGAUAGGCCGGGUGUGUAAGCGCAGCGAUGCGUUGAGCUAACCGGUACUAAUGAACCGUGAGGCUUAACC
rnacentral:rRNA from 1 species